rnacentral:rRNA from 1 species
UACAGAGGUCCCAAGCGUUGUUCGGAUUCACUGGGCGUAAAGGGUGCGUAGGCGGUUUGGUAAGUCUUGUGUGAAAUCUUCGGGCUUAACUCGAAGUCUGCACUGGAAACUGCCGGGCUUGAGUGUGGGAGAGGUGAGUGGAAUUCCCGGUGUAGCGGUGAAAUGCGCAGAUAUCGGGAAGAACACCCGUGGCGAAGGCGGCUCUCUGGGACGGUACUGACGCUGAGACGCGAAAGCGUGGGGAGCGAACAGG